rnacentral:rRNA from 1 species
AACGUAGGAGGCGAGCGUUAUCCGGAUUUACUGGGUGUAAAGCGCGUGCAGGCGGUUAGCUAAGUUGGGGGUGAAAGCUCCUGGCUCAACUGGGAGAGGUCGCUCAAGACUGGCUGACUGGAGAGCAGUAGGGGAAGGUGGAAUUCCGGGUGUAGUGGUGAAAUGCGUAGAUAUCCGGAGGAACACCAGUGGCGAAAGCGGCCUUCUGGACUGCAUCUGACGCUCAGACGCGAAAGCUAGGGGAGCAAACGGG